GAGAAUCCACACACCAACCUCCUUAUAAAUAUACUCUUAUUUGCCUACAUUUCAUUAUAAAACUUCCCAUCUUUGUUCAUUAAAGCAAGAGAAGGGUUCACCAAGAAACCCAUCAGCCAUAUUAUUAUCAGAGAGGAGCAAGCUCGAGUGCAAUCCUUUCUCAAGAGAUUAUGAGUGUUCGUGGGAAAACUUUCUCGGCGCAGCUGCUUCUUGUCAUUCUGGUGAUUUCGAGCAUGCAAACAAUAUACGCAGCGAGGCCUCUGAGAGAAAUCCGGUUGUGGUCUCAGAUGGAUGACGGCCUACUGUUUAUUUCCCUCCCUAAGGGCAACACACCGGGUUCUGGGGCAUCCGGGUGCACAAGCGACCCCAACAACUCCAAGGGUACGUGUCCUUGAGGUGGCUCUGAACGUAUAGCGAGAUCAACAACGCUGCAUGAACUACAUGGAUGACAAGAACUUGGGAGAAAACCCAUUCAGGGAUCUCUACGGUCUAGUAGCUGGUUCUGUAAUUACUUGUGAGAAGGUUGUCUUGGUAUUCUAUUUUCCUUCUUACUUGAUUCCCUUUUGGACCCUCACUAGCUUUUUGUAAUUUCUCGAUUGCAAUCUGUACUGAAAAAAAGUGUUUAUAUGUCAAAAUAGAUGAGAAGGGCAAUGGCUUACUAAAUGUAAUUUUAUCGGAAUCCUUAUAAUUCUUUAAUUAUUUUCCAGCUUUAUUUUCUUUUUAUCUCUCUUGUAAACCCGCAUCAGUCUGAAUAAUACGUGCUUCGACGCGUCUUCUAAUUGUUGAUAGUCUCGCAUCUUCUUUUCUGUUUUAAACCGGAUGGAUGGUUUAUUAGCCUUGAGUGUUAUGUAGCUGCGGUUUUUUCUUAGUUUGAGUUUUGUAUUCUAGG
rnacentral:lncRNA from 1 species